rnacentral:tRNA from 1 species
UCCCUGCUGGCUCAGACAGUAAAGAAUCUGCCUGCAAUGCAAGAGACCCAGGUUCAAUCCCUGGGUUGGGAA